AUGUCGAAUAAAGUUCUAGAUAGUAUUAUGAUAAUGACAGUCUAUCUAUGCUUGGCCAAAUUACGUGCCAGCAGCCGCGGUAAUACGUUAAAGACUAGUGUUAUUCAUCUUUAAUAGGUUUAAAGGGUACCUAGACAGUAAAUCAAGCCGGACUAAAUACUAGAGUUUGAUAUGAGGAAGAAGUACUGUUGGUGUAGAGAUGAAAUUCAAUGAUACUGGCACAGGUAUAGGCGAAAGCAUCUUCUUAUGUAAUAACUGACGUUGUAGGAUUAGAUACCCUAGUAGUCCAGGCAGAAAAUUAUGAAUGUUAUAGACUGAGUGUAUAAAUGAAAGUGUAAGCAUUCCACCUCAAGAGUAAUGUGGCAACACAGGAACUGAAAUCAUUAGACCGUUUCUGAAACCAGUAGUGAAGUAUGUUAUUUAAUUCGAUGACCCUCGAAAAACCUUACCACAAUUUGAACAGGCGUUGCACGGCUGUCUUCAGUUAAUGUCGUGAGAUUUUGGUUAGAUCCAUUAAAUUAACGUAAACCCUUGCUCCACAGACAGGGACCAAGACAAGUC
rnacentral:rRNA from 1 species